UUGACUAUCUUACUUUUUUUUGAGCUGUGCUGUAGGUGUAACCUUGUCUCUACUCCUCUUUCCCAGGUAGAUUGUGGACCUAUGUUACAGCCUGAAGACCAACUUACAUUUGUUAGCGAGCAGUUCAUCGAAGGCUUCUGCCCACAGCCGGGCUUCCUCGGGGGAAGGUCUGCGUGAGGCAGAGAGAGAAGAGCGGAGAACGUGAGACCACUGCUCAAGGACGGGAAGAGUUCUGCAGGAAGUAGCUCAGCUUCUUCUUCCAGUCUUUAAUGCUGGAAGAACAAAGACGCGGAUUUUACAACAAAGCCGUCAGCCGCCAACCUCGCCCCGCCACCGAGAGCCGCCCUUAGGCCGUGAGGAGAAGAGCACCCCCUCCCCACGGGGCGCCGGCGGUGCC